CAACCAAUGAUCAACUGCCAAGUCCGGUAGGACAAGGAUGCAGCUCUGUUUGACCAUUUGAGCCAAGACACAAUGUAUCUGUCUCAUAUUCAGUAUGUGCAGCUCCUUAAGUCUGUCCUGCUCAACUUCCAUUUUCUGAAGGAAAGUUAUGGAUCUGGAUAUCAAACAGAUGCAAUGGAUGCUGGGGACGACAAAAGAAGUACGAGCCACCAUAUUGUAACAAUGAAGCAGGAGUGCCAAAAGAUGAGGCCCAACUUGGUCAUCAUUCGCCAAUGCCUCCAGAGAGUACAGAAGACACUAUAUUCAACAACACUACUGCAGAGGUCUUAAAAGAAUUCCCCUGCUUCUCUAUUCCAAUCUUGGCCAGUUGGUGAAUGCAGCCAUACUCCUCAUACCAUCGGUCUUCAAAGAAAAUGCAUCACAGCUGUUUGCAAUAGCUAAGGAACCACUAAGCCCAACACCCACAAUUGUCCUGAGCAACAGCGAUGGCAAGCCCCUGAGUGACGGCACAGAUGUUUUUGUAGCAGUGGAUGG